CCUACGGGAGGCAGCAGUGGGGAAUAUUGGACAAUGGGCGAAAGCCUGAUCCAGCAAUGCCGCGUGAGUGAUGAAGGCCUUAGGGUUGUAAAGCUCUUUUACCAGGGAUGAUAAUGACAGUACCUGGAGAAUAAGCUCCGGCUAACUCCGUGCCAGCAGCCGCGGUAAUACGGAGGGAGCUAGCGUUGUUCGGAAUUACUGGGCGUAAAGCGUACGUAGGCGGUUAUUCAAGUCAGAGGUGAAAGCCUGGAGCUCAACUCCAGAACUGCCUUUGAAACUAGAUAGCUAGAAUCUUGGAGAGGUGAGUGGAAUUCCGAGUGUAGAGGUGAAAUUCGUAGAUAUUCGGAAGAACACCAGUGGCGAAGGCGACUCACUGGACAAGUAUUGACGCUGAGGUACGAAAGCGUGGGGAGCAAACAGGAUUAGAUACCCUGGUAGUCCACGCCGUAAACGAUGAUAACUAGCUGUUCGGGCUCUACGAGCUUGAGUGGCGCAGCUAACGCAUUAAGUUAUCCGCCUGGGGAGUACGGUCGCAAGAUUAAAACUCAAAAUGAAUUGACCGGNUGAGAGNGCGAGACGACGACGAGGAGAGG
rnacentral:rRNA from 1 species